UACGUAGGUGACAAACGUUAUCCGGAAUUACUGGGCGUAAAGCGCACGCAGGCGGUCAAUCAAGUUUGGCGUGAAAGCUCCCGGCUUAACUGGGAGAGGUCGUUGAAUACUGGUUGGCUUGAGGCAGUGAGAGGGGUGCGGAAUUCCCGGUGUAGUGGUGGAAUGCGUAGAUAUCGGGAGGAACACCAGUGGCGAAAGCGGCACCCUGGCAUUGACCUGACGCUCAUGUGCGAAAGCGUGGGGAGCGAAC
rnacentral:rRNA from 1 species